AACCUCGUCGCCCGGAGCAGCAUUACGACGACUAAGGAUCUAUAAAAUCGUCUCUCUUCUCGUCUUCGGAUAGAUUCAGUGGUGGAGUCUUGCUUUGCCCGAAACAGCAACUAUGGAGAAGAAAUUCGCCGCUCCGUUUGUCCUGGCACUGAUAGCCAUCGGUAUUCUGGCAAGCCUUACAACGGAGAACGGGGGAGCAUUGGCGGACGGUGGCUCUGAAAGUAAGUACGAUGACGGCGAUGACAGAUUCUUAGUGAUAAUGACGACAAAUCUUCACAAAUCAC
rnacentral:lncRNA from 1 species